UUUUCAGGUUUCAGAAAGAUGCUGUCGUCUCGUUCUCCACCAGGGGGCAGUGUAACUUCAGGCAGAGACGAUCCUGCAGCUGAUGGAGAAUUAGAACAAGACUGAAGUUUUCAUUUGAACUCAACAACAACAGAAGAAACAAACUCAAAGACAGAAGAGAAUCAGGAAAGAGCUCCCCUUGGUUAAUGUUAACAUUAAUGUUUGCAAUCAUGGAACUGAUCACAAAUAUACAAUCAAUGUUUUAUGGAACUGACGCAAACUGAAUAAAUAAAAAGUUGAUUGCAAAAAAAAAAUUAUCUCGACAUAAAGAUCGUUUUCUCGUGAUAACGAAUUAAUUAAUAAUGAGUUUGUCUUGAUUUCAACCUACAAGAGCUGCCACUACCUCAGUUUGUUGACCGGGUUUGUUUGGGGGCCACCGGUCAGCAGAUGAGAGGCUGAUGAACUUCCAUCUAUCCGGCUGCUUCAGUUAAGAUCGCCACGGACCAGUUUCUGUCAGCCUUGAGAGAAAGGGGUGUUCCUGAGGAGAACCUGGCAAGAAGUAGCUACGUGAUCUAAGUCAGCAUUCAACGGCAUUGGCUGCUAAUGCUAAAGUGACAAAUGAAGAACUAUUUUGGUCCAAUUUGGUUAUCGAUCAAGACAUGGUAAAGUUCCUUGGAGAAGACAAACUACCUUUAUUCCUGGAUAUGGAGACCGUGUCUUUGCCAGAAACUGGAAGGAGUUAUCAUGAAGUGAAAGGAUAGAGGUUACAGAGCAAAGGAAACAAACUUUGAUAAACAGACUGAGAGAAGAUGAAACGUCCAUCCACCACCCCAGCCACAGCAACCAGCCCCUUUAACUCUAAGCCUACGCUUACUGGAAAUAAGAAUGCAGAGAAGAAGACAAGGAAAACAGAACUUGGCUGGUUGAACUACCAAGAUUCUGUGUACAAACAAGCAAGACGGCCUACCGGGGGUGGAACAAGAGAGAUAGUUGUAAGCAAAGAUGAUACUGUAUCCACCAUUCUUGAAAAAGGUUAAACACUUUUUUCCUCAACGGUACAUCGACUCUGAGUGCAUGCUAUCUGUCACUGGUUCUGAGGAGCCCCUUGAGGGUAGUGUCACAGUUGAAAGUCUGUUAGAGCAAACUAAUUACAAGAUCAUCAGACUAUACAUCUGCACAAAGCCAAAAGAUUGUAGUGAUUCUGAGCUUAGUGAUGCCCUUUUCACCUGACACAUCCAGCACACUUGGGUCAGCUACACAUGCAUCUCCAUCCUCAUCCAGCCAUCACUGCUCUCCCCCACUCCUGCCAAAAGACCUCGGUCCAGCAGUAGGCCUCUGUCUCGGAUCAGUCCCAAUACUACCUCAACUCUCCAAACUACUCCUGCUUCUCAAACAGCAGGCCAGCCUCUUACAGAUCUGUACAGUGAUGAUGAAGUUAUUGUACUUGGAUAUGACACCAACAUGCCUUGUGAACUUGUCCAUGGUCUUGCCUCUACACGUCAAGACCACAGUAAGUCCAGAUUCCUGGCCAGUUAACAGCCAACAAGAAAGCGGCGCAAACACAGUCUUUGAAAAUCAAUUGGAAGCAGCAGUGGAAGCUGAGAUGGAAGAAGAUAUUCACAUGGGGGCUUCUGAGCAGGCUUCAGGUUCCACCAGCACGGUGGCCACUGAUUUCCAGAGAAUAUAGUCAUUGUGAUCCGCAACGCACAUUGUCUUGUGGAUAUGAUUGAAGCAUUUACAGACAACUGCAUACUGGAUGCUAAUAUUUCAAUCAGGCGUGUGCUUGAACGUGGCGAGGUUGAGGCUGGAGUUGGGAGUGGGGUCACCAGAGACUGCCUCACUGAUUGCUGGGAUAUUUUUUAUGCAACAAAGACCUGCGGAACUAACUACAAGAUCCCAGUUUUGCAGUUUGGCCUACUCCUCAGGUACUGCACAGGGUCUGACUUGUUCCUAUCUAAGACCAUUAAAGUCACAUUCACAGCAGAACAGCCACAGUUUGCAACGGGGGCGGAUUCAUCUCUGUGCUGAAGAGUGGAGUGUGGGUGAUGGAUUUGGCCUAAAAAGGCUGUGUUUGCUUAGACAGCAAAUGAAAACUGCACACACACACACACACACACAUUCAGAAGUUUAGCAGCAUCAUCUUUUAUAUCCACAAGUUCUACAUGUGGAGGUCGUUGUAGUAGAAGGAGGUUGAUUUCUGUUUUCAGUGUAUGACCUCUGUAAAAUUCAAAUAUGACAGCUGAAGGCACUGGAAAAGGUCACACUAAAGUUAAUAUUUCAACAAAGACAAUUUAUUUACAAAAAAUAGAAAUGUGACACUGUACUCUUGGCCAAGUUGUAUGUAAUAACCGGCCAACUGUUUGUGGUUGAUGUUUUUCCAGUGUUGUUAAAAUUAAACCUUCACAUAGUUCAUAAAAGGAAGCAUCAAUCUUUCCAAGACUGCAUGGAGGCAGGGAAGGACGUGGAAGUGUGUUAGACUUGAGGGGGAUUAUUUUAAAGGGGAAAACUUGUAGUUUGUAGUUUAGACUUGAAGACAUUUUUGUGACCCCAGUCCUGUUUCUUUUCUGACACACCUCCUAUGUUGGCCUAUAUGCAUUUCAUUUAUAUGCCAAUUUUGAGAAAUGAUUUUGUUUUACUUAAUUUGAUUUAGGACAGUGCA